UACGUAGGUGGCGAGCGUUGUCCGGAUUUACUGGGCGUAAAGAGCGCGCAGGCGGUCGUACAAGUCGCGUGUGAAAGCCCCUGGCUCAACUGGGGAGGGUCACGCGAUACUGUUCGACUCGAAGGCAGGAGAGGGAAGUGGAAUUCCCGGUGUAGUGGUGAAAUGCGUAGAGAUCAGGAAGAACAUCGGUGGCGAAGGCGCUCUGCUGGACCAUAACUGACACUCAGGGACGAAAGCUAGGGGAGCGAAUGGG
rnacentral:rRNA from 1 species